rnacentral:rRNA from 1 species
GGUCAAGUUGUUAAGGGCACAUGGUGGAUGUCUUGGCUUCAGGAGCCGAUGAAGGACGUAGGAGGCUGCGAUAAGCCUCGGGGAGCUGUCAACCGAGCUGUGAUCCGAGGAUUUCCGAAUGGGGAAACCCAGCACCAGUGAUGUGGUGUUACCCGCACCUGAAUAUAUAGGGUGUGUGGAGGGAACGCGGGGAAGUGAAACAUCUCAGUACCCGCAGGAAGAGAAAACAACCGUGAUUCCGUGAGUAGUGGCGAGCGAAAGCGGAAGAGGCUAAACCGAUUGCAUGUGAUACCUGUCAGGGGUUGUGCAGUCGGUGUUGUGGGACCCAGCGUCGAGGAUCUGACAGUCCUCGGAAUGGUCACGUAUGUUAGUGGAACGCCUUGGGAUGGGCGGCCGGAGUGGGUGAGAGCCCCGUACGCGAAAACAUAUUGUUGAUUGUUUGUUUGGUGUUCCCGAGUAGCAGCGAGCUCGUGGAAUUUGCUGUGAAUCUGCCGGGACCACCCGGUAAGCCUAAAUACUUC